GUUUGUGUUUUUCGUAACAGGGUGAUUUUCUACUUUGUUUUAAAGAACCUGAUUGAGAAGCAAUCUGCUCAUAGCACCCCAAAAUUGAAAGUUAUUCUUAUGUCUAGUUCCAGCUCAUAAAUAGUGCUUAUUCUAUAUGUUUGUUCAUAAUUGCAAAGUUUGUUUUGCUCUUGUGUGUUUAUCUAUAUCUCCAAUGUUCAGGUCAGUAACUGUUGAUUCAGAUCUGUUUCAAGAUACUUCAGUCGCUGCGUAGUAAUUACUGCUCAAGGCCGAACACAUCCUGUCUCAACACACUUUCUCAGGAUAUAUAUGAAAGUAUUAACUAUCGUCUUGCUUCAGAUUCUCUAGCUUAUCUAAGAGAUGAUACAUCUACAAAGAAGAAUGAUCCUGUUAGCAACCACAAGGGGAAGAAAAAUCUAGUUUUAUCUGGAUGGGGAGAUGAAUCAAUUCUGUCUGAAGAUUUCAUAAACCCAUACUAUAUUCCGAGUACUUAUCAAACAUAUAGUGAUCAAACUUGAAAGAAUUCGAGAAGGUUGAAUGAAGAUGUUAUUGAUUAUGAUCUUCUUGAAGAUCUGGUGCAUUACAUUGAUGAAACACACCCAGAGGGCGCCAUACUGGUUUUCUUACCAAGAGUUUCAGAGAUCCACACAUUAUUUGAUAAACUAGCUGCUUCUUACCAAUUUGGUGGAAGGUCUUCUGAGUGGCUUCUUCCUUUACAUUCCUCAGUAGCGUCAGCUGAUCAGAAAAAGGUGUUUCUACGACCUCCCGAUAAUAU